UACGUAGGGUGCGAGCGUUAAUCGGAAUUACUGGGCGUAAAGCGUGCGCAGGCGGUUUUGUAAGCCAGAUGUGAAAUCCCCGGGCUUAACCUGGGAAUGGCAUUUGGGACUGCAAGGCUUGAGUGCGGCAGAGGAGACUGGAAUUCCUGGUGUAGCAGUGAAAUGCGUAGAUAUCAGGAGGAAUACCGACGGCGAAGGCAGGUCUCUGGGCUGACACUGACGCUCAUGCACGAAAGCGUGGGGAGCAAACAGG
rnacentral:rRNA from 1 species